UAGUAAUGAGAGUGGCAUGUUUCUCUGGGAAGUUAUUACCUACAAUGAAAAAAGAGCUAUUUCUAGUGCUGGAACCUGGUCAAUGCAUCUCUCACCGCACCCUGGUUACUGGCAAUCAUUUACACUCAUCUCUUACACCCUUUCAAAGGGCUCUGUAAAUAAUUAUCAACAGAGUAUGUUACACCCAUUUUAUCAUAGGUGGAAAUGAAUUGCAAAAACAAUGAAGAUUCAGAUCUGUGGUUAAGGAAGCUUUCAUCAGAGUGCAAGAGCUCUCUAUCCCCAGGUGUAGCAAGUCAGGAAAGGGAGGUAAGAGGACCUGCAUAGCUGAAUUGGGACCUGCUGGUCAAACUGAAGAGCAAGAAGAAAAUGCACAAGCAGUAGGAACAGAGACAGAGGGAAAUAUUCUUCCUUUCAACAGAACUGGAACUCCCAAGCAGCUUCUCCAGCAGUAAGGAGCAAUUUCCUGGUGUUGCAAUGGGAUACAGGUUGUGAGUGGUAUCCCAGGCCCUGGGAUACUUGUAAGCGAAAGAAACAGCUGCUUGUCAUCUCUGACAAAUGAGAUCUAUCCCUGCAUGUCUUGGAGCCCACAUUUAUUACCAGGCAGCUCAGCAUGGUCAGCGUAAGAAGCUCAUGCCUCACUGCUAUCAGCUAGUUGAAAAACUUCAGAUACACGGAGUAAAGGCAAAUAUGUUAACAGGGUAACCCACAGCAACAGCAGGUCCACAUCAUUCCUCCUGCCGGGAAGGAAAUGGAACACGUGGCCUGUAAGUGCCCCAGGUAUUUGUGGAGAGCAGAGAAGUGAGGAGGUAUGAAAAAGAAGAGGCUUAGACCAUGGAGGGAAAGUUGUUCUAGGACAAAAGUAAGGAGAAUCUGGGGUUGGAGUGUAGAACUAUGAGGAUUUUUUUUAAUGCAACAAGAGAUCAACAAAAAGGCAUUGUAGGAAAAA